rnacentral:rRNA from 1 species
GACGAACGCUGGCGGCGUGCUUAACACAUGCAAGUCGAACGGAAAGGCCCUGCUUUUGUGGGGUGCUCGAGUGGCGAACGGGUGAGUAACACGUGAGUAACCUGCCCUUGACUUUGGGAUAACUUCAGGAAACUGGGGCUAAUACCGGAUAGUAGCUCCUGCUGCAUGGUGGGGGUUGGAAAGUUUCGGCGGUUGGGGAUGGACUCGCGGCUUAUCAGCUUGUUGGUGGGGUAGUGGCUUACCAAGGCUUUGACGGGUAGCCGGCCUGAGAGGGUGACCGGCAACAUUGGGACUGAGAUACGGCCCAGACUCCUACGGGAGGCAGCAGUGGUGAAUAUUGAACAAUGGGCGGAAGCCUGAUGCAGCAACGCCGCGUGCGGGAUGACGGCCUUCGGGUUGUAAACCGCUUUCGCCUGUGACGAAGCGUGAGUGACGGUAAUGGGUAAAGAAGCACCGGCUAACUACGUG